rnacentral:rRNA from 1 species
GAGAGGAUGAUCACCCACACUGGGAGUGAGACACGGCCCCGACUCCUCCGGGGGGGGGCAGGGGGGGAUUUUUUUCAAUGGGGGAAAGCCCCCCGGAGCAAAACCGCGUGAGGGGGGAAAGCCCUCUGGUUUUAAACCUCUUUUUUUUGGGAAGAAGAAAAAGACGGUACCCGUGGAAUAAGCCUCGGCUAAUUCCCUCCCCCCAGCCGCGGUAAUAAGGAGGGGGCAAGCGUUUUCCGAAAUAAUUGGGGGUAAAAAGUCCGUAGGUGGUUAGCCAAGUCAUCUGUUAAAGCGUGGAGCUUAACUCCAUAAAGGCAGUUGAAACAGGCUAGCUAGAGUGCGAUAGGGGCGAGGGGAAUUCCCAGUGUAGCGGUGAACUGAGUAGAUAUUGGGAAGAACAUCGGUGGCGAAAGCGCCCUGCUGGGUCGUC